GCGGCUGUGGUGGAAUUGGCAGACACGCAUGCCUUAGGAGCAUGUGCCCUUCGGGCUUGGGGGUUCGAGUCCCUCCAGCCGCACCA
rnacentral:tRNA from 1 species